GGUGGUAGAGCUCAGUGGUAGAGCGUGUGCUUAGAGUGCACGGGGUCCUGGGAUCAAGCCCCAGGGCCUUCA
rnacentral:tRNA from 1 species